UAGUCCAUGCCGUAAACGAUGGAUACUAGGUGUCGGGGGGACUAGCCCCCUCGGUGCCGUAGCAAACGCGUUAAGUAUCCCGCCUGGGGAGUACGAUCGCAAGGUUGAAACUCAAAGGAAUUGACGGGGGCCCGCACAAGCGGUGGAGCAUGUGGUUUAAUUCGAUGCAACGCGAAGAACCUUACCUGGGCUUGAACCGCAUUAUGAUCGGUUAUAGAGAUAUUACUUUCUGAUUUAUCAGCAUAAUGCAGAGGUGCUGCAUGGCUGUCGUCAGCUCGUGUCGUGAGAUGUUGGGUUAAGUCCCGCAACGAGCGCAACCCUUAUCAUUAGUUGCCAGCGCGUCAUGGCGGGGACUCUAAUGAGACUGCCCGGGUCAACCGGGAGGAAGGUGGGGAUGACGUCAAGUCCUCAUGGCCCUUAUGUCCAGGGCUACACACGUGCUACAAUGGGCGGUACAGAGCGCAGCUACACAGUGAUGUGGUGCG
rnacentral:rRNA from 1 species